rnacentral:rRNA from 1 species
AGCUGAUCAUUGGGUGUAAAGCGUGCGCAGGCGGUUUUGUAAGACAGAGGUGAAAUCCCCGGGCUCAACCUGGGAACUGCCUUUGUGACUGCAAGGCUGGAGUGCGGCAGAGGGGGAUGGAAUUCCGCGUGUAGCAGUGAAAUGCGUAGAUAUGCGGAGGAACACCGAUGGCGAAGGCAAUCCCCCUGGGCCUGCACUGACGCUCAUGCACGAAAGCGUGGGGAGCAAACA